CCUACGGGAGGCAGCAGUGGGGAAUAUUGCACAAUGGGGGAAACCCUGAUCCAGCGACGCCGCGUGAAUGAAGAAGUACUUCGGUAUGUAAAGCUCUUUUCGCAGGGGAGAAAAUGACGGUACCCGCUUAAGAAGCCGCGGCUAACUACGUGCCAACAGCCGCGGUAAUACGUCGGGGGCCAGCGGUAUCCGGAUUUACUGGGUGUAAAGGGGGCGUAGUUGGGAGUACAAGUCAGGAGUGAAAUGCCGGGGCUUAACCCCGGAACUGCUGUGGAAACUGUGCAGCUAGAGUGCAGGAGAGGUAAGUGGAAUGCCUAGUGUAGCGGUGAAAUGCGUAGAUAUUAGGAGGAACACCAGUGGCGAAGGCGGCUUACUGGACUGUAACUGACGUUGAGGCUCGAAAGCGUGGGGAGCGAACAGGAUUAGAUACCCGGGUAGUC
rnacentral:rRNA from 1 species